UAGGGAAUCUUCCACAAUGGGCGCAAGCCUGAUGGAGCAACGCCGCGUGAGUGAAGACGGCCUUCGGGUUGUAAAGCUCUGUCUGUCGGGACGAGGGCCCGGACGCAAGUCCGGGAGGGACGGUACCGGCGGAGGAAGCCCCUGCAAACUACGUGCCAGCAGCCGCGGUAAGACGUAGGGGGCAAGCGUUGUCCGGAAUUACUGGGCGUAAAGGGCGUGUAGGCGGUUUCACACGUAGCGGUUUUCAGCCGCCGGCUCACCCGGCGGAGGGCGGCUAAACGGUGAGACUUGAGGGCAGGAGAGGUGCACGGAAUUCCUGGUGGAGCGGUGAAAUGCGUAGAGAUCAGGAAGAACACCGGUGGCGAAGGCGGUGCACUGGCCUGGCCCUGACGCUGAGGCGCGACAGCGUGGGGAGCAAACGGG
rnacentral:rRNA from 1 species